rnacentral:rRNA from 1 species
AUUGAACGCUGGCGGCAGGCCUAACACAUGCAAGUCGAGCGGAGCGGCGGACGGGUGAGUAAUGCCUAGGAAUCUGCCUGGUAGUGGGGGAUAACGUCGGGCAACGGGCGCUAAUACCGCAUACUAACAGAUGAGCCUAGGUCGGCUUAGCUAGUUGGUGGGGUAAAGGCCUACCAAGGCGACGAUCCGUAACUGGUCGGAGAGGUAGAUCAGUCACGCUUGAACUGAGAGACGGUCCAGACUCCUCCGGUAGGCAGCCUUGGUGAAUAUUGGAAAAUGGGCGAAAGCCUGAUCCAGCCAUGCCGCUUGUGUGAAGAAGGUCUUCGGAUUGUAAAGCCCUUUAAGUUGGGAGGCGUGACCAACAGAAUACGCACCGGCUAACUUCGUGCCAGCAGCCGCGGUAAUUC